AUGGUGCAGUUUGCUGGCCUUACUCGCUCAAGUUUGCAUUUCACGGUCUGGAAGGCUUGGCCCCCCUCCAAGUGUAAUUUUUUUGCCUGGUUGGUCACUCAAAACAGAAUCUGGACUGCUGAUAGGCUACAACAGAGAGGAUGGCCUAACUGUGAUCGAUGUCCACUUUGUAAUCAGGUGCAAGAAUCCACAGCUCACCUCCUCUUCAAGUGCAGAUUCUCCACUCGAGUUUGGAAUGAGGUGUUUGCCUGGCUUGGUCUAAAUAUCCCCACGGCUCCUUGGCUUCAGUUUAACUUGGUCAAAUCUUGGUGGGAUGCGCUACUCACUAACAAUGUUCAACCUGCGAAAGCUCUAUCUUCCCUUCUCCUUCUUGUGGGGUGGGAACUUUGGAAGGAAAGGAAUGCACGCGUCUUCAGGAACUAGGCGGCGCCGGUGGCGAUCAUCACAUGGUGCAUCAAAGAAGAAGUGUCCAUUUAGGCCAUUACGAGUGCCAAACAUUUGCGUAAUGUAAUAUCGCGAGAGUAA
rnacentral:rRNA from 1 species